rnacentral:rRNA from 1 species
GUCUAUGUCCAUACUACCCUGAAUGCACCCAAUCUCUUCUAAGCUAAGCAGGGUUAGGCCUGUUUAGUACUUGAAUGGGAGACUUUUUGUUAGUAUUGAGAUGUCUUUUGUU